UAGGGGGCGCCGCGUUGGAACGCCCGAAGAGGUGCUGCUGGGGUGGUUGGAAGCCGGUGGGGGGCGGGUGUAUGGCGGCUAGGCCUGGAAGACCACGAGGACCGCUAGCGCCGUGGGGUCACUCUUCCUCAUGCCACAGGUUGCCGAGCCUCGGGGGAGAGGUGGGGUCCCAGGGGCCAACCCUUGGGUGUGUUGAUGGCGGCAGGCUAACCCAGCCAACGGGGUGCCACUGCCGGGCAAGGUGAGGAGCAAGAAGAUUUCCAGGGCUGGGAGGUAGAGGGCCAGGACCCCAAGGAGAGGGCUUACUGCGAGGAGCAGCCCAGGAUGGAUAAGGAGUUGAGGCCCCAGGGAUGCUGAGCCUGCACAAGUGGAAGGUCAGUAGACAUUGGGGUUGGAGCCCCAGGGAGGCUGCCAUGGGUGCUCCAAAGGGGUUGUUUGCUUUCGUCAGGCCUCGCGCUCACCCCCAAAGUACCAUUUGUCGAGGAACGGGUUCAGGGUCUCUGUUCGACACCCUCAUGGGUCUGUGGGACCCCUUUGUUCAUUCUUUCUGAUAUCAUGAGCUUUGCCAGGGGAGCACAUGCAUGGAGGUGACUAAAACAAAUUUAACAAGUUAGACAAAUACCAGUUCCUCAUCCUGGAGAGUAGAGCAGCAUACAAAUGGAAGAAAAGAACUCCACCUGGGGGGACCUUGAAAGUCUUGCUGGAGAAAAUGACUUUUUAUAUGGGCCUCCAAGGAAGGAUAGACGCCUUGGCUAUGAAUAGAAGGUGGUAGUGGGGGAUGGGAGACGGUUUGCCCACCACGAACAAAGGAUUUAAUGGUAGGAAACAUGGGGCGUGGCUGGGUAAACACAACUGGCCACCUUGGCUGGCUCUUGGGGAGCAGGGGGAGAAAAGUUAGGAGAAAUUAGAUAGAAUCUCUCUGAGGAUGCCAUGGAGUAUGAGGGCAAGCACUUUUGAGGCUAUUUUGGCAGGAAACGGAAAGGAUGUUGAAAGUUUUUUGUUCUGCAAGUGAGGAUUUGAGCCUACUUUUAGGAAAAGCAGAAGCAGCAUGGAGGAUGAUCCUGAUCGAGAACAAAGGAAAGGGGUUAUGCACAAAGGAGAUGUUUAAAGGAGAGACCUAGCACGGUGAAGGAAGCAGGAAGGCUGAAGGACGGCACUCAAGAGGGGUCCCAAAGGAUCCUCCUGGAGCAGCUCUUAUGCUAGAAAGACACAAAAGAUGGAGGAGCCAAAGUGUGGCACCCAGAUGGAUGGAACACUGGGAGUGGGACAGGGAAGUCAGUGGGAGGGGCUGGCAAGGUGGCAGUGCUGAUUUGGUUUUAGACAUGGCAGAUUAAGGAACUUUGGGCAGUUGGGAUGGAGAUUUUUGCAGCCCAUUUUCUGGGAGGAAAGGUCUGAAGUUCAGAAAAAGAUAAAGAUCACACAUUCAAAUUGGCAAUCGUACUUACAAAGAUGAAUUUAUGGAGUCAGAGAAAACUCUUUAGGGGAGAAAUACAUUUGGUAAUAGAAUCUUGAACAAUUGGCGCACUGGACAGGAAAAAGGGAGACAGUCCAGGAGUGAGUAGGGAGGACUCAGAAGGGAGAGAUGGGAGCACACCAGAGGAAGGGGUUUCAGAACCACUCAGCACAUCUCAUCUAGACUUGGUGUUUUAGCCUCUGCACUGGUGGUAUUUGGGGCCAGGCAAUUCUUUGUUGUGGUGACUGCCCUGUGCAUUGUAGGAUGUUGAGCAGCAUCCCUAGCCUCUACCCACUAGAUGCCAGUAGCAUCCCCUUAGUUUUAACAACCAAAAAUGUCUCCAGACUUUGCUAAAUGUCCUCUGGGGGGCAAAAUCUCCCCCAGUUGAAAAUCACCACUAUAAGCUGAGAAAGGACCCUUAGAUUUAAAUAGGAAUUGCCUUAAUUUAAAGAUAAAUUAAGACUAGGAAGAAUAAAUCCCAGUAUUUAACCCUGAUAUUCCCCCUUUUUUCCACUCCUGUUAUUUCUCUGUAGUGACUGGCUACCAGACUCUGAAAAACCUAAGUCCUUUAGGUGAGUGGAGCUAAGAGCUGAAACAUCAGUAAUGGGGUCAGGGACCCCAGAAGUGUGGCCAAAUGUUCGAGGAGUUGACCCACCUGUGGCACCUGCAAGGCCACAGGGACCUGAGGAAUCCGGUAUAGUAAGAGCUGGGGGUGAUCGGCUAGUGGGUUUACUGGGGUCCACCUUGAUUGGCCUGAUUGGUUGGCUUGUCUGGUGAUCCUCCUGAAGGCUGAUAAUUUUGCUAGCUCAAGACAGAAACAUGGCCUUGAUCUGGAGGGAGAUGGCCAGUGCUGGAUGUUAGUGGGCAGCAUCGUCUGGGGCCUAACCUUGCCGGGGCUUUUUUAGGAUCUGCCAUUAUAAUUGUAUAAUAGCAAAGUACCUUAAACAUAGCUUUCCAGUGCUGGAUGGAUUGCCAUCAUGGGAAAAGAUAAAUAUGUGAUAGGACUGAGGAAGGAAAGUCUAUUAAUGUGUUUAUGCAGCUAAGGAAGAGGAAGUCAGGAGAGGCUGGUGCCUGAAAAAAAAGGCCGAGUUGGGAUGGAUAGACGCUGUGUGCCAGGGUCUUGACCCCUGUCAUGAGGGGCUGUGUGCUGGAGUGUAGGGCUGCAGUGAGAUGAUGUGUCAAGUAGGGGAGGACAGGAUUGGCUGUCGAAACCCAGGGAUGGUUUACUUGAAAAUUGUGUAUACUUGGCUACUUAAAAAUAAUAGCGUCUGCACUUGAUGUACUAAGAAAGGCAUGGGAAGAAUUUCUCAUGCUUCCAUUAAACUCUGCAUGUCUGAGGAAAGCCAAAUGGCCCAGGUGCCACAGGUGGCAAACAGUGGCGUUUUGAAAAUAUGGAACCCCCAAUAGAAAGAAUGUGUGUAUUUCUUUACCAUUGACUCUCUGAACAGCACCAUUACAGCCCCGUUCCUUGGAAGCCGCACGUGAUGCCCUGGGCCUCCCAAACAGUCUCACCUCUCUAUUGAUGCUUUCAUGGCAUAUGUAUUCAACGAGUAAUUGUGUUUCUACUUACAUUCUGGGAUUCUUACUCAUUACCAAAAGCAUAAGGCAUAUCUCAAGUUUAGGUAGCUACCUGUCAGCUUUCUGGGUUUAUCCCUGUAGCCAACAAAGAGAAGGCAAAGUAGAGAGAGGGAAGGGAGGUGGGUGAAAGGGAAGGGAACAGAAACCACGAAAAACAGUAUUUUUUUGGUAGUCAUUUUCCUUUUGGUCUGCGGCUUUGCAGGGAGGAGGUGGGUGGUGAAGUUUGCAGAAGUGCCUUCUCUGCAGCCCAUUCAUGUCAUUGGUUGUCAGUGGGUUUCUUUCAAUUGAGGAAAAAGUAAAAGCAGAAAGAGAAGGUAGAAAAGAAUUUAGGCAACUAUGAAGCUUCUCAGCCUCCCAGUGACAAAUGUUUUCUGAGUGCUGAGUGAGUAGUAAUAGACUUUGAAGCUGUACAAUUAAUUACUUUUCAAUCAAGACUUGCUGCUGCCAUCCUUUUCCCUUCAGACUCUCCUCUGCCCGCCUUGGCCGGUGGAGGCAGCAGCAUACUGCUAUCUGCAGAGGGGUCUGCGUGGCCAGGCUGUUUGAAGCAAAUGCCAGCUAAAGGAAAAAAGCCUCAAAUGGAUGAGGCAAGAUACCAGGUUAGAGGCAGAUGCAAGGCUGAUAUUAGAGGUAGUGGAAAAAGUCUUUAUGAAAAUACUUGAUAUGCUCAGAUUAAAAAGCCCCCAUCGUGAGUUCAGACCCCUUCACUCAGCUAAUUAGCUGUAGCUCAGCAACCUUCUCAAAAGGUGCCCCAAAUUCUGUUUCAGCCAAGGCAUGCCACUGUCCUCUGACCACCUGUGCUUGAACAGUGGGUCCAGACAUUUGUGGAUUCCUUCUCCAGACUAGCUGAUGAUGCAGCAAAGAAUUUCAGGGGAGGAGAGGCCAUUCCAGAAAAGAUGAACAGCACCAUGGGAAAGCAACUAAGAGAGAGGCAAAAGUGGGGGUUGGAGGGGAAAGAGGGAAUCUCGGAAGGUAAAUUUGGCUUUAGUGGAAGCUCUGCUUAAAAUUUCUGCAAUUCAUAGUGGGAAUUCCAGCCACCCUGGGGGCUUCUGGGCAUCAUUGUUUAAGGGGAAUGGUAUAUUUCACCUUCUAGAACAACCUCAAUUACCCAGGGCAAAUUUUCCUAAUGAAAUCUAAUUAAGACAGCGACAUAAGCCAGGACACUCAGAAACCAGCUCUCACAUGGGGUUGAGGGGAGAAGAAACGUGGUCUUCUGCUGGCUGCCGGUCUUUGGCCUGUGCCCCUUGGACCCCUCAAGUUUGAGAGUGGGGACCUUGAAGACCAACCUUGCUGUGAACCAAAACCCAAAGCUUUAGCCUUGGAGCUAGACAGCUAGAUUUCUAGGUGUUAAAUCUUUCUCUUUGAGUGUAGCAAUUGAAGUACUUGUAUGAAAACUCCACACCUAUGAAAUUGGAAUUUUUGGACCAGGUCUGUACGAAACUCUCAGGGGGACAGUGAUGUUAAUGGUGUCGAAUCUGUGAGCCUCAUUGGUAGCCCUCCAAUGCCAUAUUUGGCUUUUAAAAAUGCCCUUCCUAAUGUUGAGCUGAAGUCUGUCCCUUGAUGCACCUGGUUCUAACCCCCUUAGCCACCAGAUACUUGAAGCUGCCCUCAACCUUUCUCUCUUCAAGACUCUCUUUAUUCCUUCAAACGACUUUCUUUAUAACCGCCAAAUUUCCUGGCUUUGUGACCCCCUUCCCCAUUUCUAAAUCUUCUUUUCUGCUCCUUCCCAGGGGUUCUCUUAUCUACCCACAUCUUCCUUUUUUUCUGUGAUCCCUCAAAUUCUUCUUUUCCUUUUGUCUUCCUUAAAUCUCUCCCCACUUUACUGUCACCACUUACCCUCUGUCCCUGCUGCCUGGGUUUAUGUUGGCCUUUCUCAUAGCCAUGUGCCCUGCUAAUUUGUAACAUACUUACCCUAAAAUAAACACAAAAAAUAAACACACAGGCUAUGCCCAGUGGGAGCUGGGAAGGCAGCCUCCCCAUUUCUACCCGGGAAUAGUUGCAGGCAGAGUCCUGCCUCUGCUGGCUGAGCACUGUCAACAGGUAAUGGUGGCCCCGCAUUGCAGGCUCUUGGCCUUGGGAGAACUAAGUCACUAGGCUGUUUAUUCUGGCUUCUCUGCCCUGUGAAUUAAUGGCCACUAGUGCUUGGACCAGCAUAGCUAUUGGAGGCGUUUGAAAAAACUCAUGAGAUUUUUAAACAAGGGAAAGAAAACAAAUACCAGUAAAAAAUUUAUGCCCCCCACCCCCCACAUAUGGCCUUUUGAUAUGUAAGAAAGAAAUUAUAAAACAAAAAUGGGUGCUACAUCACUUAAUUUGACAGAACCAGAUUUUUUUGUUUUUGAAAUGCUUGCUUUGUUUAUCCCAUGCAUGUAUGAUGGAGGCAAAACUGGUUUUGGGGGAUGCGGUGCGCAAACAAGUCUUAGCUGUGACAAGGUCCUGCAGUGCAUAAACAGACAGUGGGGUCUAGCUGUAUGUCCAUGGUAUUAAAAUGUCAUGGGGAGGGGCAAGUAAGAAGCAUAUGUCUGAAGAAGCGAAGAGGGGAGUGAUCAUGAAAAAAACAAAGGUUGAGAAAACUGGUUUAUCUCAAAUAGCUGUAGCUUCUAUACCAUUUUUUUCAGGUCUAGCUUAACCAAAACACUUAAAACUGUUACCAAAAAACUUUCAACAGCACUUGUGGUCACUCAACCAAUGUUCCCAUCAGUCUGCCGUCCCCCACAGUGGUUAGCCUCUCCAAGCUGCAGUACUAGGUCAGUACUUGCAACCUUGCUGCCUGCUCCUGCUCUGAAAAGCUUGUUCUUAGACACCAAGGUCAGGGACAGAAGGUGGGGAACACACACACACACGUAAAACACACACUAAAUACGACUCUCAGGAUGGCUAAGUGUUUCCAGUUUAGGGAAAGGACACAGUGGAAUUCUGCAUUCUCUAAACUGCCUUUUGAGACCAUUUUGCAACCAACUGUAAAGCAGAUUUGACAAAAUUUACAUGAAGCCAACACAAAACAGAUUUCUUCCUAGCUGGUGCUUUUUUUGUUUUUCGGGGUUUUUUGUUGUUGUUGUUGUUUUGUUUUGUUUUUUUUUUGAGAUGGAGUCUCACACUGUAGGCCGGGCUGGAGUGCAAUGGCGCGAUACCUAGCUGGUGCUUUUUAUUUGAGCAACUUUCGAUGUUUUUUGGGAGUUCCAUUAGGGUUAAAUCACUAGUGUAGAGUCAAAUUGGACAACCCCAGGCUUCUUAAGCUAAUCAAUCUAGACAUUUGGAGCUGAAAGGGAUAAAUAGGAUCAUCUCAUUCAGCGAUCUCAUUUUAGAAGAAACUGAGGCAGAGGGGUGUUGGGUCUGACCUAAGGCCACUUGACCAUGGCUAGAAGCAACCUGGGCUGCUAGCCCUGGGCCUUUCGUCUUAGAUCCCACUGCUCCAGUUUGGGACAUCAAGUUAUAGGAAAUAGAGUCAUUAGUGUCAAAACCCCACAACAGAACAAGAAAUUCCAUCUCUCAUUCUUGAACAUGGGGAUUAAAGAUGUCAUUUGAGCAUCUCAUCCCUCUGCUGGGUGAUUUUUUAGAGAAGAGCAGCAGUUGAGCCAGCACAUGACAUCACUGGCCUGGAAGCUUAAUUUUAUUUUAGUGAUUUGGUUUUUGUGAUAGGUCACCUUCCAGGUAAGCAGUUAGGAGACAUGCUUUACUCACACCAUGGUUUCUGCUCAGUUUCCUCUCAAAAGCUUCCCUCUUCUUGAAGAGCAGUAUAAUAAUAACUGAUAAUUGAGGUAAAUCCAUGUAGAUUAUUAAAAAACCAAAAAACCUCAUUCUUACCAACACUGAAGUUUCAGCUUUCUUCCUCCUUAACCUUCCACACAGCUGCAGAAAAUGAAGGCUGAAGAGUUAAAGGCUGUAAGCAACUCCAGGGUGAGAAAGGCUUGCAGUGCAUUAAAGAAACAUCUCAAAACAAUCCCAAACUGUAACAUUUCUAAUUCUUGAAUUCUGAUGAACAUAAAAGAGUUUUGUUUGCAAAACUUUAAACCUACAUCAGGUUGACCCCACACAAUAUUGGAACAUUGCAACAUAAAUUCCCAGCUCAGAUAAGUUCAGUUACAAGAGCACCUUUGGGUCGCCCUCCCCUCCCCCACAAAAGCAAAUUUCCAUUAAGCAAAUGAUUAAUGUACUAAAGGAAACAACUUCAAUAUUGGGGGCAUAUCAUCAUGUUUAGCUAGCUUUAUUCUCCUGCUCCUCCUCCUCCCUCACCCUCCAUUUGAAAUAUUAAAAGUGGCUGGUAAUUCACCUAUGUGGUUCACCAUAAGAUCUGCUUUUUCUUGGGAGCCUAUCCUCACCCCGCAGACCUCACCUAUGUAAAAGGGGCAAGUGGGCCUAUUCAGAUGCUAACCCCAGUUGAGCAGGGUGGGGCAAAGGGCCAGCUGGGAGACUAGUGAGUUGGGAAUGCUUGGGGAAGUUGCUAAAAAUGGCUCUGGAAAAGGAAGGAGCUGAGUACCAGUCUCUCAGGCAGAGAGAAGGUUUGCGAAGUCUAUAUAGCAAAAUCCUGUCUUCUCAGGGAGGGCCAUAGGUGCUUUCCUCGGGGGUUGGUAUAGCUCUCAGUUGCUUCAUAUGGUCUGCACUGGCUUUUCCACCCUUGAAUCAGGGUGUAAAGAGGGAAGCUGGGGGAGGGGAAUUGAGCGGGGGAGGAGAAUUGAGCGGGGGAGGGGAAUUGAGCGGGGGAGAGUGUGUGCCGGUAGGUAACAGGUUUUUACAAUUGGGCUGUAAUGCAGAUGGCGAGGCAGUUUGUGGAAGACUGUCUGAAAGACAGUGUGUGUUCCUAGAUUGCCCCUCCUCGCUACAUGUGAACAUGGUACAUUGCUUACAGUUCAGGAAACAUCCCUAUGUUGGGCUUCUGUUUAAAAAACAGCAAGAUGGGUGUGAGGUGUGGGCUCGACACGGAGGGCUUUUAAAAAACUUGUUUAUUCAUCCUGCAACAAGGCAACAUGCUCAUUUCUCUAAUGAAUAAUUCUCUGUGGGAAAACGGGUCUCCCGGAAUACCCAGUCUGAAGAUAGCUCCCACACUUGAAAGGCACACCAAAGAAAUUCAACACAAUCCCUAGUUUUUCUUGCUUGUCCCUAGAGACAUUUUGCUUGGUGAACUCAGGCUGAGACAUUACCAGAGGAAAAACUGAACACUUAAUGUCACAGAAAGCCAACACACCAUCAUUGUUUACAUUAAGCAGGAAUUUCGACUUAGGGGCAAGCCAAAAGCGGGGCACGCCUAGCCCUUCCGCAGCCUCCAAACUUCUGAGACUAACAUUGCUGUCGCAGAAAACCACUUGCAAAUAAACUAGUUUCUCCGUAUUUACUAGGGAAGACCACAAAAGCAUCCAACCACAGUCUGCGCUGCAGCCCGGCAGAACUAAGUCUUGGGCGCCGCGACGCCUUUCCUACGGAAUAGGUCCUGGAAGGAAGACCAUUUAAGGUAUUUUCCUUCUAUCAUCAUCCUUUUCUUAGGAGUUAAGAACCUGACCGUCAUUCAUCUCAAGCCCUCAAAACGCUUUACUAUUCCUCCAAAUCGUUGUCAUCCGUAUAAUUAAGCCGGCGCAAAAUGAGACACGCACACCAGGAAAAAAAAAAUCAAUUUCCAAGUCGGAUGAGAUUUUUUAAAGACAUUUCACUUAUCAGUCUUUCCCCCCAGGACUGGCGAGGAGAGCACGCCUUCCCUUCCGAAGGUGCGUUACCAGAUUGCUGCCGUUUUUGUGCUGGGUCAUCAGAGCAGAUUCCCCUCCAGGUUACAGAUUAAACUUAACUCUACCCGUGCUGAAAAUGGCCGGAGCACGCCGCCUCGCCUCCCCUCCCCAAGGCUGCCGGAGCCGCCGGCCCCUGCCUCCUUUUCGACGACUGAUCGUCCAAGGACUGGCGCCGGAUCCAACACCUUUCCCCAGCUCUGCGCGUACCGCGCUCUUUGGAAACGAAUUG
rnacentral:lncRNA from 1 species